GUAGGUGGCAAGCGUUGUCCGGAAUUAUUGGGCUUAAAGCGCGCGCAGGCGGUUCGUUUAAGUCUGAUGUGAAAGCCCACGGGCUCAACCGUGGAGGGUCAUUGGAAACUGGAGAACUUGAGUACAGAAGAGGAAAGCGGAAUUCCACGUGUAGCGGUGAAAUGCGUAGAGAUGUGGAGGAACACCAGUGGCGAAGGCGGCUUUCUGGUCUGUAACUGACGCUGAGGCGCGAAAGCGUGGGGAGCAAACAGGAUUAGAUACCCUGGUAGUCCACGCCGUAAACGAUGAGUGCUAAGUGUUAGGGGGUUUCCGCCCCUUAGUGCUGCAGCUAACGCAUUAAGCACUCCGCCUGGGGAGUACGGCCGCAAGGCUG
rnacentral:rRNA from 1 species